ensembl:lncRNA
GGCGAGGGGUCGGGGCCCAGGAGAGGGGAGGACAUUCGCCAUCGCCUCUGUCCUCUGGACCGGAUCUGAGAGACACAUCUUUCAUAUUGUGAACUCACUGGGGUCCUCCACAGUCGCCCCAUCAGUCCCUGGCAGUCUGGUUCCUGGAGCAGCUGGCCCUGGAUCACCUGCCCCUGGAUCACCUGCCCCUGAAUCACCUGCCCCUGGCAAAGUGGCCUCUUGAUUGCUCUCUCUGUCUCCUGUCAUGUCCUUUUCAUCGCUCUUGAAAUCCACCUCAAUUUCUCCCUCAAUCUCUGUAACAAUUACAAGGUAAUGUUGCUGUUAUAUGUAUUUUGCCUUUGCAUUUGCAACUACUGACAUCUCCAAUGUAAGGCAAUGUAAGAAAAUUAAUUAAAGCGAAACAUUUCUGUAAUGUGAAUUAAAUCAUCUGCC